UACGUAGGGUGCAAGCGUUGUCCGGAAUUAUUGGGCGUAAAGAGCUUGUAGGCGGUUUGUCGCGUCUGCUGUGAAAUUUCGGGGCUCAACCCCGAACUUGCAGUGGGUACGGGCAGACUAGAGUGUGGUAGGGGAGACUGGAAUUCCUGGUGUAGCGGUGAAAUGCGCAGAUAUCAGGAGGAAAACCGAUGGCGAAGGCAGGUCUCUGGGCCAUAACUGACGCUGAGAAGCGAAAGCAUGGGGAGCGAACAGG
rnacentral:rRNA from 1 species